rnacentral:sRNA from 1 species
UCUGACUAUUCCCUUACCACCUUCCCAGGGCGCAGAAGCCGCUAAUGUAACUGGGCCCGGGGGGGUGCCCGUGAAGGGCAGCCGUUAUGCCCCCAACCGACGUAGGUUCCGUCGAUUCAUCCCCCGGCCUCCCUCAGUUGCCCCACCACCCAUGGUGGCAGAGAUCCCCUCAGGGGGGACAGGACCUUGCAGUGAAGGGGAGCGGGCCGAAGACUCUGGGCAGCGGCCCAGACGACGGCGCCCCCCACCCUUCUUCUACCGACGGCGGUUUGUGCGAGGCCCCCGGCCUCCCAACCAGCAGCAACCUAUAGAGGGCACUGACGGGGUAGAACCCAAAGAGACAGCCCCAUUGGAGGGGCACCAACAGCAGGGAGAUGAGCGGGUCCCCCCGCCCAGAUUCCGGCCCAGGUACCGAAGGCCUUUCCGCCCCAGGCCACCCCAGCAGCCUACCACAGAAGGUGGGGACGGUGAGACCAAGCCCAGCCAAGGUCCCGCUGAUGGUUCCCGGCCUGAGCCCCAGCGCCCACGAAACCGCCCCUACUUCCAGCGGAGACGGCAGCAGGCCCCUGGCCCCCGGCAGCCCGCAGC